CCACGGGAGGCAGCAGUGGGGAAUAUUGGGCAAUGGGCGCAAGCCUGACCCAGCAACGCCGCGUGAAGGAAGAAGGCUUUCGGGUUGUAAACUUCUUUUCUCAGGGGCGAAGAAAGUGACGGUACCUGAGGAAUAAGCCACGGCUAACUACGUGCCAGCAGCCGCGGUAAUACGUAGGUGGCAAGCGUUAUCCGGAUUUAUUGGGUGUAAAGGGCGUGUAGGCGGGAGCGCAAGUCAGAUGUGAAAACUCAGGGCUCAACCCUGAGCCUGCAUUUGAAACUGGCAAACUGGAGUGUGUGAGAGGAUAGUGGAAUUCCAGGUGUAGGAGUGAAAUCCGUAGAUAUCUGGAGGAACAUCAGUGGCGAAGGCGACUAUCUGGCACAUAACUGACGCUGAGGAGCGAAAGCGUGGGUAGCAAACAGGAUUAGAUACCCCUGUAGUC
rnacentral:rRNA from 1 species